UAGAAGCAUUCACACAAUUAAAUACUUAGCAAAACACAAAAUUAAAAAAAAUCAUGAAGAAGUAUAUUGCCAUUCCCAUUCUUUGCACUCUUCUUUUGCUAGCUUUACUUUCUCCAUCCAAAGGGGAUCUUAAGUUUUGCCCAACAACAAUGCAAAUAUCAGGACCAUGUGGUCCCAAUGGAGCUUUCGAAUGUUUUGAAGCCAUUAAUGCAAAGUAUGGAGCUUCCGCAAUGGCGCAAAGGUGUUCUUGUAAAGAUUUGUCUGCUAAUGAACAUCUCUGUCAAUGUUAUAUUGUUUGUCAAUAAUUGUAAUUUUCUUUGUCAAUAAUUGUAAUUCUCUUUGAACCUCACUUACGAGUUGCCAUAAUAAAAUAAGUACUACAACUUUAAAAUA